ensembl:lncRNA
AUAACAUCCCAUAUCACACUUGCAGGCUCUUCCUGUGAGCAUAAAGCUGGCUACCUCAUGAGAAUCACCUUAUGCUGCACUUCCCAGAGAGUUCCUUAGGACACCAGAACUGAAGUCAACGGGAAUUUUGGAGGUGUGAAGAGCUACUCAGAAGAAGCAAGGAUUUUCCAGAACCUCCCAGGCACAUUGCAUUUAGAGCCAUCUGAGGAGCCAGGCCAACUCCACAAGCUGAGAGCAGACUCCUGGCAGGUGCUAAGAUUUUCUCUGCUCACUGGCUGUCCAGCACAGGUAAAAAAGUACAAGGAAGGUACAACACUAAGCUGUUACAGCACAUGCUGAAACUUUGCUUCAUGGAAAGCAUUUCAUAACUGAUCAAAUGCUCCAACCAUUUUAAGACUGAAAAGAUACAUCUUCCUUUUGAGACAUUUGGUUGUUUUAUGCUUACUACUUUUAAUGUAAUUACUGGUGUUGAGUGAAAAAAGUGUGCCCUGAGUCUUCUGAGGCUACUUUAGAAAUAUUUAAUUUUUCAGUUUUAUAUUUAAAAUCAAUAAAUGCAUCCAGCACGUUUGGUUUUGGAUUGUUUCUGGAAGAUAGUUUGGAGAUACAGUAAGAUUUCUGAGCAGCAAUUUCAAGCUUUGAAAAAAAAUUACUCAUUUAGAAAAGGUUCUAUUCACAUUUUUUUCAGCAGUACAUAUUGAAUUACUAUAAACAUUAUAUAUAUAUACAUAUAUAUAUAUGUAUUUUAAAGUCAGUGUUAUUGAAUAAUACAGAACACUUGCCUGUUUUCCAAACCACUGAAGAAUUUGAAAAAACUGCUGCUGGAAGUGGCAAGUUUUUCUGUGUAAACACCUUUAUUUCUUUAGACAUAAUUUUAAAAAUCUCAGUUUUACCUCAGCAUGAAAGAGAUCAGGAGCAGUUUCUUUUGCACAAUAUUCAAAAUUAUUAUUUCUGAGAAAGUUUAUAAAAUAUGGCAACUCUUUAUGGAAAACUUAAUAUCUGGAAACAGACAUAGCAUGUAUUUCUUUCUGUACGUGAGAUGAUGGUAUUCUACUAUGCAAGUACAGAAGAUGACUCCCUCCUCUAUUGUCAGUAUCUGUGCUGUAUAGAGGAUUUCCUCACCAAAAACCUCUGAAAAAAAUUUUGUCAGUCUCCCUGAGGCACUGUGGCUGUUUGUCAAAUCUCCCUUUGCCUGGAUGCUAAGGCUCAUCAUAUGACAUUAAAUGUUCUAACAG